rnacentral:rRNA from 1 species
UACGUAGGGUGCGAGCGUUGCCCGGAUUUAUUGGGCGUAAAGGGCGCGUAGGCGGCUCUGCACGUCCGUUGUGAAAUCGCCCGGCUCAACUGGGCGGGGUCAGCGGAUACGGCGGAGCUUGAGCAAGCUAGGGGGCAAUGGAAUUCCCGGUGUAGUGGUGGAAUGCGUAGAUAUCGGAAAGAACACCAACGGCGAAAGCACUCUGCUGGGCCGACACUGACACUGAGAGACGAAAGCUAGGGGAGCGAAUGGG